rnacentral:lncRNA from 1 species
UUCAUUGUCUCUGCUCCAGCUGCCCUCAUGGACCAUACCGGCCAGCAGCCCACAAUACUGGGAGACCCGCAUAGAUGAAUCAAUUUCUCCUGUUUAUACACAGACUCUAGUUUCCUUUCCUCAUGGGCUCUAGAGCUGUGUGGUCAUCCACUGGAUCAGCUGCCCUUUCUAGCCACACAGAUUACGAUGGAGUUAGUAGUAUGAGAGAUUUCUGAAGAGUAAGGUCUAUAGCAAGGUAAAAGGAAAAGAGGUGGAGAUCAGGCUAAGAGAACCUCCAGACUAUACUGUUUAUUUAAAACCAUUGAAAGAGAGGGGAAAAGCAAGAAUGGUUGGGGUUAGCCUCAGAUCAUGCAUGAUGCAGGUCUGACACUGGCACUACUUAACCAUGAGGUUCAGAAAAAGGGAGCAGGCAUCGGGCUGAAGGGGCCAGGCUCUUGUUUAGUUAUCAUCAACAGGCCUGGGAAUGGCAAGCUCAAUGGCUGAGCUGCUCCUUUAAAAAAAAAAAAAAGAUUUAUUUUAUGUAUAUGAGUACACUGUAGCUGUCUUCAGACAUACCAGAAGUGGGCAUCCAUUCUCAUGGUUAUGAUCCACCACGUUGUUGCUGGGAAUUGAACUCAGGACCUUUGGAAGACCAGUCAGUGCUCUU